UAAACAACUGGCGAUGGGGUUCGCCAUUAACCGUCCUUAAAAUUAAGGAAUGAUAACCCCUACUGGGAC
rnacentral:ncRNA from 2 species